AGUGCGGGGGCGCGUAGCGCGCGGCCGCCCGCGCACCUGCUUCGCUCGCUCAUGCCCGGCGCCCCCCCCACCCCCCACCCCCACCCCUCGGUCCCCGGGAACUCGGCAGCACCACCAUCCCGCCGUCCCAGGUGCCUCCGGCCACCCAGGCGCCUCGGCCACCCCGGCAUCUCCGGCGCCCCAGGCCACCCCAGCGCCCCCGACCUUGGCCACCCGGUUGCAGCCGCCCUUCUCCCUCUGCGCCCCAGGUUGAGAUCGAUCCGUGGCGAGAUGGUGUCAGGGAAACUGGUGACCAACAGAGGACGCCAGUGGUCCAGGAUUGAAUUUGGAAUUACACUUUCAAGGCUCUUACAAAGAGCGUGUGGAUCAGCGGUGGGAAGCGGCGAGACCACGUAGAAAACGGGCGGAGAUUCUUAACCACUGCACCACCGGGGGGGAAGCCCCUACCAGCAUCAUCAUCUAAGUAGCGGACAAGGGAAGCCCAGGGAGAAUGUCUAAAGUCGCAGACCUCCCCGUGCAGUUGGAGAAAAGGACAUGUUGAUGGACUUCUGCAAAUGGAGAGGACUGUUAUUCUAGCCCCUUGUGGUAAAAGCCUGAGGGCCUGACUGCUGCUGCCCUCGCAGGCUUCUUCCUCGGGGCCAGUUCUGUUCCUGUUUCCAGAGCUGCAGACCCUCUGCAGAAGCUUCAUAAGCCAGGAUGGCACUCCUGCCCGGAUUCAAGUCUGCCACCUCGGAAUGUACCAGAAGGGCUAACGGGUUUGGGCAGCUGUGUGCAUUUCUCAUCCCGCUCAGAAGGGGAAACGUUGGGCAUGGACCGCAAGACCUCUGUGGGUGUGAAACACUCUGGUCUUGCGCAGGGAACUAGCUGAGACCCGCUGAUGAUUUGGGAGCUGACAUUAGAUAGAAGUAGCCCCGAGUGCCCAAUGACAAGAGCGGUGACCCUGGGGGGUCUGCCACGUCCCUCUCCUUUGCCUUCUGGCUCGAAGCUCGCCUCCCUUCCUCUAUUCUGUUUGCUUUGCUUCUUAUUUCACUUCCCUCAUCCUGUUUCUCUUAUUUCUGAGAAAAUAUCCUGGGUCACCUCUCAUUUAAAUUCACUGACAGCUGUGUACCCACAGAGCCUGCACUACCGUUGAAGUCAUCUUCCCGGGUACCCGGGCUCCUGUCCCCUGCUCUCAGGUUCCUUAGGACUUCUGGGGAUUCCACAGUGUCCUCUCACAGAAAAGCAGCCCUUUUAUUUUGAGGGGCUGCCUCUCCCCAUGUCUAGAAGCAUGGUUUUUGGUGGAGGCUGCACUUACAUCCCUCAGUCAGAUGCCACAAGGCAAAUGGGUCCUUCCAGGAAUGGAUGUGUGACCCACCCCGGCCAGCAGGAGCGCUUCCUGGGGGAUUUUUCUAUGUGGAGCUGGCAGGGAAGACAGGUGUCCUCUGUGGUCUUAAAACCGCAGGUUGUAGACCUGGAGAGGCUUCCAGCCUCGUGGAAGAGGGUGAAAGACUCCCUCUGUAAUGGAGCAGGACCCUAUGGGGCCAUCUCAGGACAGACCACCCCAUGUCUUCCACCUGCUUCUUGUCUGUAGAAAAACUUUAUCAGGGAAUAAAUUUAAUCAGAGAAGUGAAGAAGUGCAGACACAAAGGAAAAUAGUCAAACAAGACAAAAUAAUAAUAGUUUAGCCAUUAAACAAAGUCAAGGACCUUUAGUUCCUCCUCAAGGGCUAUGGUUAAUAUUCUGAGCUAUAUCCUUUGAGAUAUUUUGCAGAUACUGAAGCCCCCAUCAGGUGGAAAAAGUUAACGACAUGAUCACCAGACUGUAGCCAUGACAUAAGCUGUUCCACCUUGCACAAUACCAAGAACUGGCCUCAAGGAAAUGGGAACAAACGGACCCUGGAAUUGAAGGUUAAAUGUACUUAAAAGCAUCAAUAUGACAUCGAUCAGACCAUUGCAUGACUAACAUCAAGGUGAUUUUUGGAGUUGUUCUGUACGUGGCCACUCCCCAGCCUCUGCACCCCUGAAACUCCCCUUUAAAAGUUCUUGCCCCUGAUCAACA